AUUUAAGUAGUUUUAAAAAAAAUUUUAAUUUGUGGAAUUAAAGAUAAAUUAUGUAUUUCUUAAAUA
rnacentral:tRNA from 1 species